rnacentral:rRNA from 1 species
GGAUGAAUAUUGCGCAAUGGAGGCAACUCUGACGCAGCCAUGCCGCGUGCAGGAAGAAGGCGCUACGCGUUGUAAACUGCUUUUAACCGGGAAGAAACCCCAGGACGUGUCCUGGGUUGACGGUACCGGAGGAAUAAGCACCGGCUAACUUCGUGCCAGCAGCCGCGGUAAUACGAAGGGUGCAAGCGUUAUCCGGAUUCAUUGGGUUUAAAGGGUGCGUAGGUGGGGCGAUAAGUCAGUGGUGAAAUCU